UGCUUACCAUGCAGUUGACGUUUUUACGAAAGUAAGAAAGUAACGGACGGGUGAGUAAUAUGUAAGAAUUAACGUUUAGGUAAGGGAUAACAUGUGGAAACAUAUGCUAAUACCUUGUAUCGCAAUUAUUGUGAAAGAUUUUCGUCUAGACAUAAGCUUGCAUUUGAUUAGCUUGUUGGUAAGGUAAAGGCUUACCAAGGCUUUGAUCAAUAGCUAAUUUGAGAGGAUGAUUAGCCACAUUGGGACUGAGACACGGAACAGACUCCUACGGGAGGCAGCAGUGAGGAAUAUUCCGCAAUGGGUGAAAGCCUGACGGAGCAAUACCGCGUGGAGGAAGAAGGCCUUUGGGUUGUAAUCUCCUUUUCUCAUUGAAGAAUCUAUGACGGUAAUUGAGGAAUAAGCAUCGGCUAACUUCGUGCCAGCAGCGUGUGACAAGAGGUUUACACCUUCGUGAACAUAUGUAUUCUCUAUGAAUAUUGUAGUUCCGAAAAAUCAAAUAUAUAACAAAGCUUAGGUAGAAAGUGCUCCUUCGAUCUGAUAAUGUAGGUUUGUUAGUCGAAUCGAUGUUAUAAGCCAGAUCAGCAAGUAAAAUUAGAGAUCGUAUAAUUUUACUGGAAGGAUGUUUACUAGUAUAAGAUUAGAAGGUAAAUACCCAACGAACCUAUGAAUAAAAUACCGAAUCACGGAGUCUGCAACACGAUUUGAUCCGAAAGGAUUAAAGUAGGCGUUAUAAUGCGAUGGCAUAUCUGUUUGUGGGCAUUACUGCGUGUCCAUGCUACUAACAAGCCAUAGGUAUAGAAUAGGGAUCUUAUGUUAGGUUAUACUAUAUAUAUUUGGAACUUGGAAAAGCCAAAUUUGUGCUGAGAAAUCAGAAUAGACUAAUCUAAAGAAUUUGGAAUAAGAUGGAGGAUGAAAGCGAAAGGCAAACCAGUAAUGGGUUAUUGAAAAGGUUGGAUGUAGCGUCCUGCAUAUGCUGAAAUUCUUCGUGAGGGGUCUUUAAUUAAUUAAACGGACCUAGCAACUAUUGGUUUCUUAAGGAACUAAAAGGCUAAUAUACCUCAAGUAGCCGUAUGAAGGGUAACUUUCACGUACGGUUUCGAAUGAGAAGUGAUCAAAGUAAUUUGACAUUGACUCUCUAAUCGCGGUAAUACGGGGGAUGCAAGCGUUAUCCGGAAUUAUUGGGCUUAAAGCGUUUGUAGGUGGUUUAAUGUGUUUGAUGUUAAAUCUUGAAGCUUAACUUCAAUAUUGCGUUGAAAACUAUUAGACUUGAAUAUUAUAGGGGUAAAGGGAAUUCUUAGUGUAGCGGUGAAAUGCAUAGAUAUUAGGAAGAACACCAAUGGCGAAAGCACUUUACUAGGUUAAUUAUUGACACUGAGAAACGAGAGCUAAGGGAGCAAAUUGGAUUAGAUACCCAAGUAGUCUUAGCUGUAAAUGAUGGCAAUUAAGUGGAGCUUUUCUGUUCUGCUGUAGUGAAAACGUUAAAUUGCCCGCCUGGGGAGUAUGCUUGCAAAAGUGAAACUCAAAGGAAUUGACGGGGGCUCGCACAAGCGGUGGAGCAUGUGGUUUAAUUCGAAGAUACGCGAAGAAUCUUACCUGGGCUUGACAUGUUAGGAAGUUUUUAAAAAGAAAAUGUGCCAAUUGGAACCUAAACACAGGUGGUGCAUGGCUGUCGUCAGCUCGUGUUGUGAAAUGUUGGGUUAAGUCCUAUAACGAGCGCAACCCUCUUUUUUAGUUAUUUUUUGAAAUUCUAGAAAUACUGCCAACUAUAAGUUGGAGGAAGGUGAGGAUGAGGUCAAGUCAUCAUGCCCCUUAUGUCCAGGGCUACACACGUGCUACAAUGUUUAAAACAAUGAGUCGCAAGCCUGCGAAGGUUAGCUAAUCUCUUAAAUAUAAACUAAGUUCGGAUUGUAGGCUGCAACUCGCCUACAUGAAGGUGGAAUCGCUAGUAAUCGCCAAUCAGAAUGUGGCGGUGAAUACGUUCUCGGGCCUUGUACACACCGCCCGUCACGUCGAGAAAGCUGGCUGUACUCGAAGAGAUUAUUUAUUUUUAAAGUAUAAUUAGUGAUUUCGACGAAGUCGUACAAGG
rnacentral:rRNA from 1 species